GGACCCGUAGCUCAGCCUGGUAGAGCAGCGUUCUUAUACAGCGAAGGUCGGAGGUUCAAAUCCUCCCGGGUCCA
rnacentral:tRNA from 1 species